CGGGUGGGAGGGAAUGGAAAAAUAACAAUAAAAACGUUAAACAUACAAAACGUACAUUUUCUCUCGUUUUUUUUUUUUUUUUUUACGAGUAGCAAGUUUGACGCCUUUUAGAGUUCGGCCGCUCUAAUCACCCGCUUUUUCUGCUCAUUUACAGGCUAAUGAAACGCUGGUUAUUCGCGUUCGGUAUAAAUGAGUGUAUUAUUAUUGUUUUUGCGGAUAGACGAUG